rnacentral:rRNA from 1 species
CCUACGGGGGGCAGCAGUGGGGAAUAUUGCACAAUGGGGGGAACCCUGAUGCAGCGACGCCGCGUGAGUGAAGAAGUAUUUCGGUAUGUAAAGCUCUAUCAGCAGGGAAGAAAAUGACGGUACCUGACUAAGAAGCCCCGGCUAACUACGUGCCAGCAGCCGCGGUAAUCCGUAGGGGGCAAGCGUUAGCCGGAUUUACUGGGGGUAAAGGGAGCGCAGACGGCUGUGCAAGUCUGGAGUGAAAGGCGGGGGCCCAACCCCCGGACUGCUCUGGAAACUGUAAAGCUGGAGUGCAGGAGAGGUAAGCGGAAUUCCUAGUGUAGCGGUGAAAUGCGUAGAUAUUAGGAGGAACACCAGUGGCGAAGGCGGCUUACUGGACUGCAACUGACGUUGAGGCUCGAAAGCGUGGGGAGCAAACAGGAUUAGAUACCCUGGUAGUC